rnacentral:pre_miRNA from 1 species
UUAGUACUCCCUCCGUCCGGAAAUACUUGUCAUCAAAAUGAAUAAAAGGGGAUGUAUCUAGAUGUAUUUUAGUUCUAGAUAUAUCCCUUUUUAUCUAUUUUGAUGACAAGUAUUUUCGGACGGAGGGAGUACUAC